AAGAGACAGCAGUAGCCGCGGUAAUACAGAGGGUGCGAGCGUUAAUCGGAUUUACUGGGCGUAAAGCGUGCGUAGGCGGCUUUUUAAGUCGGAUGUGAAAUCCCUGAGCUUAACUUAGGAAUUGCAUUCGAUACUGGGAAGCUAGAGUAUGGGAGAGGAUGGUAGAAUUCCAGGUGUAGCGGUGAAAUGCGUAGAGAUCUGGAGGAAUACCGAUGGCGAAGGCAGCCAUCUGGCCUAAUACUGACGCUGAGGUACGAAAGCAUGGGGAGCAAACAGGAUUAGAUACCCCAGUAGUCCCUGUCUCUUAUAC
rnacentral:rRNA from 1 species